GCAGGCAUCUUAUAAUGGUAUUAUCUUAGCCUUCCAAGCUAAUAAUGCGGGUUCAAUUCCCGCUGCCUGCU
rnacentral:tRNA from 1 species